rnacentral:rRNA from 1 species
AGGAAGGUGGGGAUGACGUCAAGUCCUCAUGGCCCUUAUGGGUAGGGCUUCACACGUCAUACAAUGGUCGGUACAGAGGGUUGCCAACCCGCGAGGGGGAGCUAAUCCCACAAAAGCCGAUCGUAGUCCGGAUCGCAGUCUGCAACUCGACUGCGUGAAGUCGGAAUCGCUAGUAAUCGUGGAUCAGCAUGUCACGGUGAAUACGUUCCCGGGCCUU